GUGGGGAAUUUUGGACAAUGGGCGCAAGCCUGAUCCAGCAAUGCCGCGUGCAGGAAGAAGGCCUUCGGGUUGUAAACUGCUUUUGUACGGAACGAAAAGGCUCUGGUUAAUACCUGGGGCUCAUGACGGUACCGUAAGAAUAAGCACCGGCUAACUACGUGCCAGCAGCCGCGGUAAUACGUAGGGUGCAAGCGUUAAUCGGAAUUACUGGGCGUAAAGCGUGCGCAGGCGGUUUUGUAAGACAGACGUGAAAUCCCCGGGCUCAACCUGGGAAUGGGGUUUGGGACUGCAAAGCUGGAGUGCGGCAGAGGGGGAUGGAAUUCCGCGUGUAGCAGUGAAAUGCGUAGAUAUGCGGAGGAACACCGAUGGCGAAGGCAAUCCCCUGGGCCUGCACUGACGCUCAUGCACGAAAGCGUGGGGAGCAAACAGGAUUAGAAACCCGGGUAGUCC
rnacentral:rRNA from 1 species